rnacentral:rRNA from 1 species
GAAUUCAACUCCUACGGGAGGCAGCAGUGGGGAAUUUUGGACAAUGGGCGCAAGCCUGAUCCAGCAAUGCCGCGUGAGUGAAGAAGGCCUUCGGGUUGUAAAAUACUUUCACCGGUGAAGAUAAUGACUGUAGCCGGAGAAGAAGCCCCGGCUAACUUCGUGCCAGCAGCCGCGGUAAUACGAGGGGGGCUAGCGUUGCUCGGAAUUACUGGGCGUAAAGGGAGCGUAGGCGGACAUUUAAGUCAGGGGUGAAAUCCCAGAGCCCAACUCUGGAACUGCCUUUGAUACUGGAUGUCUUGAGUGUGAGAGAGGUAUGUGGAACUCCGAGUGUUGAGGUGAAAUUCGUAGAUAUUCGGAAGAACACCAGUGGCGAAGGCGACAUACUGGCUCAUUACUGACGCUGAGGCUCGAAAGCGUGGGGAGCAAACAGGAUUAGAAACCCGAGUAGUCCAGGCGUU